UCUAUGAAUGUUACGAAUAUAUUUUCAUAAUGUCUCCGGUCAAAGGACAUAACGAUGUUGUUUGUAGGUUAUGCAUUCAUUAUUAGCUAGAAAAAUGGCGUGAUAAAGAUGAAAAAUUCGCAAAGAGUCUAAUGGGUUCAAACAGCUCGAAAUUCGUGAAAAAUAUUUUUCCACAUUUUAACAGUUCAAAUGAUCAUGACGUUACAGAUAUUUCCGACGGUUGUGUUAAACUAAGAAGUCCAUGUAUUGUUAUCUCAAGGAAGGGGUCUAUGUAUUUUGAUGAAGAUGGAGACUUGGCUCAUGAGUUCUAUGUGGAAAUUCCACCACCCAGAAAAGGUUGCAAAGCCACAAUGAAGAAAGUUAUGCACAACUUAAUCCCACAGGGAGAAGUUGCUCAUCCAUUCCCACGCUUACACUUUGAUUUUCCUGUCAUCCUGCACCAUGUAUGAAGAAAUUUCUACAUCACACAUGCAUAACUUGUAAAUAGUAAAUAUAGGCUCAACAAUGACUAGUUGAGGUUGUCUGUUUUAUUUGGUAAUAUAAAAAAAAAAAUGUUUGAAGGGAUUUUACACCCUCAUUCAUGGAACAUGAAAAAAAAAAUUCAAGUUUUAAUAUUAUUUAUAAAUAAUUUUUUUGCUGAUUUGGUUUUGGUUUGUUUAAUCUCUUUGUUUAAUUUAACCCACAAAAUAUAUUUAAAGUUGUUUCAAACACUAAAUAAUAUUUUUAUUGCUUGUGCAAAACCUUUAUUUGCAGGUUGUGUUUACCAAAAUUGGUUCAAGUAUAUAAAUGCAUUACCAAUUCAUUUACAUUCUUGAAUUUUAUGUGAAUGAUGCAAAGUACAUACUGUGUUGCCUUAUAGGUGAAGAUAUCUGUAGAAAUGUUUUUGUAAAAAUGUAUAUUUAAAUGAUUUUUAAUUUGUUUUGCAAGACUGGUGUGAAACCAAUUUUCUAUCUGUUUUAUGAUCCCAAAAUAUUUUGCAUACAACCAGCUAUAUUGGCCUACAUAUUUUAAUAAGUUAACAAUAAAAACCAAACAUUUCAAUAGUGAAAACUUUUCAAAUGAAUGAGGAUUGUGUGGAACAAUGUCAUUAUUAAGAAUAAAACCACUUUUAUCAAAUAUAAUGUGCAAAACAAUUGUUUUGUUUCUGUAAGUUGUAAUUAUAUUUUUUAUCUUUAUUUUAGUAUCUGAUAACUUGUCAUGUGUUAAUAAAGAAGUAUUGCCGGCUUUCACCACCAUUGUCUGAAGUUGCUUGAGUUCUGGGUUGUAGCAGCAUCGAAGGCGAAGAUUUCACUGACAUUUUGGUUGACCUUACAGUCGCCAUCUUCAGGGUAGCAUUCACCGACUAUGUCUGUGAAAUAUUCGCCUUCGGGGCAGUUAGAACCGAGAAGCCAAGCAACUUGUAAUGUGUUAAUUUUUGAUUAUAAAUUCAUUUAUUUACUGUCACAGUUUGUGUGUUAAUGUAUCACUAAGAAUUUAUAUUUAAUCACAAUUUUUAAAAAUUUAAAUUGAAUGGUUAGAGCACUGAUUGGAAGUAAUGUAGUCUUAUGUAUAUAAAUGAGUAUCUUGUAUAGUGGUUACAUUGUAAAUGAUUUAAAUUGUUUUAUGUAAUAUAGUUCACAGGAUUUGUCACCUUGAAAUGCAGGAUUGUGAUACACAUUCCUUAAAAUUAUUUGUCCUUAUUUAUUUUAUUUGUUAGUAAACACUUACAGCAAAAGUGAGUGGCUAAAUAAGUACCUAAUGUAUACACGAUAAAAAAAAUAUGUUUUCAUGUAUUUUAAACAGUAUCUGUUACAAAGUAUUUUGUUAAUUAAUUUUAAAGUUUUUGCUGUAGAAAUAUGACUAAAGUGAGGUAUGAAAUAUUUUAUUGCAUUAUAAUAUUUGGCAAUUUUUAAUAUUCUGUUUGGAAAAGAUUUUGUGCAUUAUUUUCUAUAAUGAAUUGGUUUUCAGAUGUUAAGGAAAAAAUUAACCUAUUUUCAUUAUUUUUGAAGUAAACUUUAACUCAUACAUAUUUUAUUGUUGAGAAAUCUGUCAAGUAGUAAUAUUUCGUUGCUUGUUUCAUAUACAGAUCAGGUUAUUGUUUUUAUACAUGCAGAGUUAGUUAAUAAAUAUGUGAUAAACCUAAUAAAACUGUUUUUCCUAUAUUAUCACAUGUAUUUAAAUGAUUUCUUUUUUUUUUGAAGUGAAACUUCUUUGCUUGAGGGGGCUGCAAUUUUCGAAUGUUACGAAAAUUCCUAUUACAUGAGAGUAACAGUUUCGUACGUGGUGAGGGAACCGGUAGAGGAGUAGUGUGCGUCAGCGGCGACGCCACUUCAACGCAUGCACUAGUGGUCGAAUGGGAAGAUGACAGAAGGAGGGGGGGGGGUUAUAGACAUUUAGCAUAGUAUGCUAUAUGCUAGUUGUUACAGCCGUAAGUGGAGACGGCAGGAGAGCAGUAGAAAGGACGUAGCAUAAAUGCUGCUUGUGUUUGUCUAUUACUCAGUUGUCAUAAAGGCUAACGAAUGAAGUUACCACAUUUCUUUUAUUUUGU